rnacentral:rRNA from 1 species
UACGGGGGGUGCGAGCGUUGUCCGGAAUCACUGGGCGUAAAGGGUUCGUAGGUGGCUUGCUAAGUCAGACGUGAAAUCCCUCAGCUUAACUGGGGAACUGCGUCUGAUACUGGCGAGCUUGAGUGCAGGAGAGGAACGCAGAAUUCCAGGUGUAGCGGUGAAAUGCGUAGAUAUCUGGAGGAAUACCGGUGGCGAAGGCGGCGUUCUGGACUGCAACUGACACUGAUGAACGAAAGCCAGGGGAGCAAACGGG